AAAACAAAGGUGCCUUUGCCAGUAUUCUAUUCCCUUUGACAAGCCUUGAGAUUUCUGAGGGGAAUCCAUUAUAAAUGGGAUCAGGUCAUUCAUUUAUGUUGUGUGCAAAUAGAAUUUAAAGAUACAACCUA
ensembl:misc_RNA predicted gene, 27330